GAUGAACGCUGGCGGUAUGCUUAACACAUGCAAGUCGAACGGACUCUUCGGAGUUAGUGGCGGACGGGUGAGUAACGCGUGAGAAUCUGGCUUUGGGUUCGGGACAACCACUGGAAACGGUGGCUAAUACCGGAUGUGCCGAGAGGUAAAAGAGAAAUUGCCUGAAGAUGAGCUCGCGUCUGAUUAGCUAGUUGGUGAGGUAAAGGCUCACCAAGGCAGCGAUCAGCAGCUGGUCUGAGAGGAUGACCAGCCACACUGGGACUGAGACACGGCCCAGACUCCUACGGGAGGCAGCAGUGGGGAAUUUUCCGCAAUGGGCGAAAGCCUGACGGAGCAGUACCGCGUGAGGGAAGAAGGCUCUUGGGUUGUAAACCUCUUUUCUUAGGGAAGAACAAAAUGACGGUACCUAAGGAAUCAGCAUCGGCUAACUCCGUG
rnacentral:rRNA from 1 species